UUUAGACUUUUUUAUUUAUCUGGUUUUAUAAGUUCUUUCAAAUAUAUCUUUAGGAAAUAAUUUGUUAGGAACAGCUAUUAUUUCUAUAAAAUUAUUAUUUUGUCUUUUCAAAUAUACUUUUCUAUUAUCACUAUUUUUUCUUAUUUGCCCUUAAGUUAGGAAUAUAAGAGGUAUUUUGACAAAUAUAUCUUUCUAUUGUCAUCAACUUUUCUUAUUUGCACUUACGUACGUUAGGGAUAAGAAAAAAUAUUUUGACUUUUUUUUUUUUUUAAAAAAAAACUCUGGUACGUAGAAAUUUAACUCGGACAUAACUUGAGAUGAUUUAACGAAUACUAACGAUGUAGUUAUUUUUUAAUAAUGAAAAAAAAUAUAUGAGAGUAUAUUUGAAACAAAAGAAUAUAAGGAUAUAUAAGAUAUUUCAAAAGUUUUGAAGGGUAUAUAUAUAUAGGUAAUUACUCAAUAAUAACAAUAAU
rnacentral:lncRNA from 1 species